rnacentral:rRNA from 1 species
UACGUAGGGAGCAAGCGUUGUCCGGAAUCAUUGGGCGUAAAGCGCGCGUAGGCGGCCCCGUAAGUCCGCUGUGAAAGUCAAAGGCUCAACCUUUGAAAGCCGGUGGAUACUGUGGGGCUAGAGUCCGGAAGAGGCGAGUUGGAAUUCCUGGUGUAGCGGUGGAAUGCGCAGAUAUCAGGAGGAACACCAAUAGCGAAGGCAGCUCGCUGGGACGGUACUGACGCUAAGGCGCGAAAGCGUGGGAGCGAAGAGG